rnacentral:misc_RNA from 1 species
GAUUACCUUCCACGUCUUCACAGCUCUCAGGUAUACACACACGUACGCGUCUCCCUCUAUUCAUCAGGUGCGACCUCACUUACAUAUUUUCCUCCCUUUGCUUCUUCCUGUUUCGACCCCGCUCACCUAAUGUUCCGCUUCACCAUCCCCGCCCUGAAGAAGCUGCAGCCGCUGGGCCAGCGCGUGCUGGUGAAGCGCGUGCAGCCGGCGAAGCAGACGAAGGCCGGCAUCCUGAUCCCUGAGCAGGUGGCUGCCAAGGUCAACGAGGGCACCGUUGUGGCGGUGGCGGCUGGGUCGAAGGACUGGACGCCGACGGUGAAGGUGGGCGACACGGUACUGCUGCCGGAGUACGGUGGCUCUUCGGUGAAGGUGGAAGGGGAGGAGCUCUUCCUGUACGAUGAGAGCGUGCUGCUUGGCGUGCUGUCAAGCUGAGAAACGGGUGGAGAAGGGACCGACACGGUACGCGGGACACGGCACACGCACUCUUCUCCUUAGCAGUGGACGGAAAAGAGGAACGGAUGAAGGGAGGCAGGGGAAGGAUGUCCGGACGUGGUCGGAGGGCAACAGGUAUGUCGUCGCACAGAAAACAAAUGGAAAAACAACCGCCCGUCCGAGUAAAGGGGAGGGAGCAGCGUGGGCAGGCCACGCCUUGCUCCUCCUUUCGCUCGUCUCUUGUCUAACGACCCCUUGCCCCCCCCCUUUGCAGCCAUAGCUGUGCGCGUGCGUCUCUAUCCUCGUUCUGUUUUCGCAGGCUCUUCUUCACGUACGCGCAGGGCGUUUCGUCAUUUGAUUUCCCUUUUUUUCUGCCUCCUCCUCGCUCGAGCACACGUGUGCACCCAUGAAAGCUCAUCAUGCACGCACAUUGGCUCGCUCCUGCCUCUUGUGCAGGUUGCUGCUGUGUGGGUCGGCGUGUCUCUGUGAGUGCAGGGGGAGGGGGACACUUCUUUUCUCCCUCUCUGUACUUCGCCGCUCUGUGCUGCAUGCGCGUGCAAACGCACUACUGCGUAAACGGCAGCCUGACGGCGAGGAUGGCAAGCGUUGCGAGGACGAAGUGGUGAGAAGGAGGGGAGGGAGAGGGGAGGGUGGGUUCAGGAGGAGGAUGGCGGCAGGGUGUGCGUGUGUGUCUCUGUAUGUGCGGGCGAAAGCGUCUCACGCAUGCGGCAUGUAGUUCGUUAACGGAAGUGCGCACAUGCACGCGAUCGGACGCACGAUACGACGACACAGCAUGACUCGGACUUCAUUUUACCUUCAUCACCACCCUCGG